AGAGUUUGAUCCUGGCUCAGGACGAACGCUGGCGGCGUGCCUAACACAUGCAAGUCGAGCGCCCUGGUAGCAAUACUAGGGAGCGGCGAACGGGUGAGUAACACGUAAGCAAUCUACCCUCAAGACUGGAAUAACCCGCCGAAAGGCGGACUAAUACCAGAUGUGUCCUAGAGAACGCAUGUUUUUUAGGGUAAAACCUCCGACUUGUCGGGGGGCUUAAGGAUGAGCUUGCGGCCUAUCAGCUAGUUGGUGAGGUAAUGGCCCACCAAGGCUAUGACGGGUAGCUGGUCUGAGAGGACGAUCAGUCACAAGGGAACUGAGACAUGGUCCCUACUCCUACGGGAGGCAGCAGUGAGGAAUUUUCCGCAAUGGGCGAAAGCCUGACGGAGCGACGCCGUGUGUGGGAUGACGUCUUUCGGGAUGUAAACCACUGUCAGAGGGGAAGAUAAUGACGGUACCCUCAGAGGAAGCACCGGCUAACUACGUGCCAGCAGCCGCGGUAAUACGUAGGGUGCGAGCGUUAAUCGGAAUUACUGGGCGUAAAGCGUGCGCAGGCGGUUAUAUAAGACAGAUGUGAAAUCCCCGGGCUCAACCUGGGAACUGCAUUUGUGACUGUAUAGCUAGAGUACGGCAGAGGGGGAUGGAAUUCCGCGUGUAGCAGUGAAAUGCGUAGAUAUGCGGAGGAACACCGAUGGCGAAGGCAAUCCCCUGGGCCUGUACUGACGCUCAUGCACGAAAGCGUGGGGAGCAAACAGGAUUAGAUACCCUGGUAGUCC
rnacentral:rRNA from 1 species